ensembl:lncRNA
CCCACCACAGGAAAUUUAUUUGAAGUGUCUUCAUAGUUUUACUUUUGAAAUACACCAAUUUUUAUAUACUGCAGGAAAAACGAAAAUAAAUAUUAUAGUGCAAAUUUGCAAAAAAGCAGCAUAUGCAUCAAAAUAAACCAUUUCCAGCAGUGCAAUUUGAGUUCUAAGCAUCCCAGAAACGACACAGAAAGUCAUAAAGUCAAAGAUAACUUUUAAAAACACCAGUAUAGGCUCUGAGGCCCUGACAGUAAAAAAAAACUACAUUUCCGCGAAAUGACGUCACUUCCGGUUUCGGUCAGGUAAUGGCGGACAUGCGAAAGUUCGCGCUGACGUCUAUUCCAACGUAGGAAGUGUUAUGAACAGCUGAUCGGAUCGGCAAAGCGUGUUUCUGGAGUAUUAUGUUUUUGUUGCUGCAAGCGCUUUUUAUGCAGUUUUUGCAAAGCUAUAUGUGGAAGAAAACCGUGACCUAGGACAAGCUGAUGGCAUAAGAUUGCACAGUGAUACCAAGGAAACCCCUCAUCUUUUGGUCCAACCAAAUGUCCACAGUGACUGAAACACGAUCAGCCUCACUCAACUGAGUUUUUAACAGGUUCUCUGUUUUUGAUGUAACUGUUCUGAGACAUACUGGGCUGUAUUUGCUCUUGUUUUCCACAACAGACAGGAGCAGGUUGCAACCAAUAAUCAAGUCACUUAAUAAUGCAUUUGUGAUGGCUUUCUGCUGUGGACAAUUCAUGCUGUACUGCCCGGCACAAGUGUCCAGAAACCGAAAUGGAAGGCUGUUGGUAUCUUUUGAAUUAGUUAAAUGUCACAAUAAAGAGAGAAAGCACUGUCUAUUUUUGAUCACUUUCAUCAUAUAGUACAUAUACACUAAGUUUAUUCUGUCUUUAAUUAAUAAGAAAACUCCAGACGAUUCCAUUCUGAGCUUAAGAAGCUUCUGCUAGGUUAGUAGAGUCCAUUUGAGUAAAUUGGUGGCACACCUGUGGAUGCAUAUAAGGCACCCCCAAGAUAAAUCGUAUGAAAAAGCUUCUAGAAAACAAAUUGUAGACUUUAAAUUGGCUAGUUUUAAAAUUAAAGAGACAGAGAGGAUACAGCUGAAAUUCAAACUGCUGGCCUUUGACCACUUCAAAAGAUUACACACUGUUUACAGAAUCUGUGAGAAAUUUGAAGCUAUAUGUGACGAAUACAACAUCAAAGAUAAACUAGAUUAUAUUAUUAGCAACACUUCUGCCAAUAUGUGGAAAGCAUUCAAUGUCUGCUUCCCAACUGAACAAUGUGAGGAACAUAAAUGUUUUCUG